rnacentral:rRNA from 1 species
AUGCCGUUCGGCCUCACGAACGCGCCGGCCACGUUCCAGUGCCUGAUGAACGCCAUUUUUGGUAAGUAUGUGCGCAAGUUUGUGAUCAUAUUUCUGGAUGACAUUCUCGUCUUCAGUGAGACCAUGGAGGAGCACCUGCGCAUCGGCUUCGAGCUCCUUCGCGCACACCAGCUCUACGUCAAGGAGUCCAAGUGCACGUUCGCCGCCGAUCACAUUGACUACCUCGGCCAUGUGAUCUCCAAGGAGGGCGUGGCCACGGACAAGGAGAAAACGAGCGCGAAGGAACAAUGGCCGACGCCGACGAACGCCACCGAGCUGCGCGGGUUUCUGGGCCUCACCGGCUACUACAGAAAAUUCGUGCCGCACUACGGCAUCAUCGCCAAGCCACUAACACAGCUGCUCACCAAGAAAGGCUUU